CCCAGUGCAGUAGGUGUGGCAGAAAGUAUUCUCACCCCGUGAUGGACGAGAAAACUGACAGCCUCGAGGUCACACAGGCAGGCAGGGGUCGAACUGGGCUCUGGAUUCCCCCUGCCAGUGAGCCCCAUGACCCUCCUGUCACACCACUUCAGGGGCCACCCACAGUGGGGACUGACCUGUGGGAGGCAUGGCAGGGGAGACAGUUCGCCUAUGUUCCAGACACAGAGGAAAGUACUUUACAAGCAGUUUUCACUGACUUCUUGAAAGAGCCUUUUGAAGUAGUUACUAUGACUGUCCCCACUGACCAAGGAGGAUGAGGCUCAUGGAGUUUAGUUAUGGUUCUACAAACAACUGCACAGUGAGUCCACAAGAACACAGAAAGAAUAAAGGCCUGCAUGAGUCUCCAGGAGGUUUUCCCAGAAGCAGUGGCAUCUGAGUUGAAGGAGGAGUGAGACUUGGCCAAAUAGAAAAGGCAGGGGAGAAAGUUCCACGAAGGAGCGAUACGCAGGCCAGGGCCAGGAAGAGUCAAAGGACAAGUCAGGAAUUGCUGAAUGACUUGCAUUUGUGGCAAACUGAGUAAGAAUUUUUAUCUGAGAACAAAGAGCUUUCUGCUUGUGUAUCUCACCUCCUCCUCACAGCAGCCCGAGAAGCAGCUGAUCCAGGAGGCCCUUGGCUGAGGGAGGGGAAGCACUUUGGCCUCAGAGACCGGGGGUCUGCUUCCCAGAGGUCAUGCGACUUACCACCUCUCUGAACCUGGGUUUCCCCUUCUCUGCAAAGAG
rnacentral:lncRNA from 1 species